rnacentral:lncRNA from 1 species
CCGGGAAGCGCAGCAUGCGCCGGCUGGGGCGCUGAAGCCCAUGGUCUCUUCUGUUUUAGAGGGGAGGGAUGGGGAUUUACAUCUGUUACUUCCAAGUGGAGCCACUUCUAUUAUUCCUUCGGUGUCAGUCUUUAAAGUGUCUCUUUUGUUUGUUUGUUUUCCGAGAUAGGGUUUCUCUGUGUAACAACUCUGGCUGCCCUGGAACUAACUCUGUAGACCAGGCUGGCCUCGAAUUUACAGACACCCACCUGCUUCUGCCUCCCCAGUGCUGGGAUUGAAGGCAUGUACCACCACCGCCCGGCUUGCAAAGGGGGAGACUGGACAAUACACGUAUAAGCAAGAUCACUUCAGACAAUGAUGUGGAACUCUCAGCUACUUCUCCAGCGCCGUGUCUGCCUGCAUGCUGCCAUACUCUCCACCAUGAGGACAGUGGACUAAACCUCUGAAACGCAACCGGACACUGACUAACACAAUCCCUAAUCCAAUAUGGAAGUUCUCCGAAGCUAGAUGUUUCCCUUCAGCCUUCAGAGGGAGCACUGAUCCUGCUGGAACCCUUGUUUUGGACUUAUGGCCACCACAAGUAUGAGACAGAGAAUGAAAACAUCCAAGUAAGGAAUCUAGAGACCCCUGGGCAAGUGAAACUUCUGAAGAAAAAUAAUGGAUCAUCAAGAGACAAUGUCCCAAGAAAAAUAGUCAAUUGGACAAGUGGUUUCACCCACCUCCGGCUGACAGGCCUGAAAUGCCUGCUCAGAGCCCCAGGCUAGUGCCUUCCAGGUUCUGUGCAAAUUGUGGACACCUUUGGCUUGACUGCUGUGUUCUACUGAAGGGACCAGCUCCCCAUUUCGGCAGCCAUAACAGCCGAACAUGUGCUUGUCUGACCUUGUCUUAAUCACUAGGAAGUCAGAUGCCUGCCUCGUGGCAAGGAACCAAUCAGAAGUUAGGUGGUGGUGCUAUGCUUUACGACUCUGGGUAUGCUUUACGGGCAAGCGCUCAGCAACCACCCUGGGAGGGCCUAUGGGCCAUAACAACCAGUUAACCAAUCAACACAGGGAAAACCCUCCAAGCCUGGAGGCACACCAAUCCUGAGCCUGUGCGUACCCCUAGACACUCCCCUUAUGCUGCCCUAUAAGAUCUCUAUGCAGCCGGUUCAAGUUGUCUUUCCUAGCCAUCCGCCAUGGUGGAUGGAUGGAAGGCCCGAGCUAACAUGGGGUUAGCUCAUUAAACAACUAUAAUAAAGCCUUGUGCUGUUUGCAUCAAGCUUUCGACUCUGCCCUGUGAUUGGGGUGGCUGCAGUCCUGGGCUAAGAUCCUGGAGGCCUGAGCUUUCUGGGGGUCUUAAACUACCUAGCCAGGAUUGCUACUAAAUGAC